AUCCAGCUGACGAGUCCCAAAUAGGACAAAAAUGCGCGUCCUGGAU
rfam:Schistosoma curassoni strain Dakar, Senegal genome assembly, scaffold: SCTD_contig0000458